GAUGAACGCUGGCGGCGUGCCUAAUACAUGCAAGUCGAGCGAACGGACGAGAAGCUUGCUUCUCUGAUGUUAGCGGCGGACGGGUGAGUAACACGUGGAUAACCUACCUAUAAGACUGGGAUAACUUCGGGAAACCGGAGCUAAUACCGGAUAAUAUUUUGAACCGCAUGGUUCAAAAGUGAAAGACGGUCUUGCUGUCACUUAUAGAUGGAUCCGCGCUGCAUUAGCUAGUUGGUAAGGUAACGGCUUACCAAGGCAACGAUGCAUAGCCGACCUGAGAGGGGGAUCGGCCACACGGGAACGGAGACGCGGUCCAGACUCCUGAGGGAGGCAGCAGUAGGGAAUCUUCCGCAAUGGGCGAAAGCCUUACGGAGCAACGCCGCGUGAGUGAUGAAGGUCUUCGGAUCGUAAAACUCUGUUAUUAGGGAAGAACAUAUGUGUAAGUAACUGUGCACAUCUUGACGGUACCUAAUCAGAAAGCCACGGCUAACUACGUG
rnacentral:rRNA from 1 species